rnacentral:tRNA from 1 species
GCCUCCAUAGCUCAGCUGGUAGAGCAACUGUCUUGUAAACAGUAGGUCCUCGGUUCGAAUCCGGGUGGGGGCUCCA